rnacentral:piRNA from 1 species
UGUCGUGAAGAGAUGAACAGGAUGCCAGGAA